rnacentral:rRNA from 1 species
UUGAAAGGGAAACGAUUGAAGUCAGUCGUGCUGGCGCGAAAUCAACCCUCUCGUCGAGAGGUCACAUGGCGUGGCGAGCCUCAAAACCGUCACGAAGCGUGAACUCUUGGCGAAAAGGAGCACUUUUGUGUCCGCUGGUUAACAUCAAUUUCGAACGUCAUAAAAAGGCUGGAGGGAUGUGGCUCCUUCGGGAGUGUUAUAACCCUUGGCGGAAUGUGACGAUUGGGAUUGAGGUUUGCAACGAAUACCUUUAGGGCAGUUCCUUCUGGUCUCUUGUUGACGUUCAGAUGGCGACAGCUUGCUGACGUUGUUUGAAUAGUUGGCGAAUAGAUUGGAAUGUGAAUUAAUUCGUUAAGGAUGUUGACGUA